AGAGUUUGAUCCUGGCUCAGGAUGAACGCUAGCGGCAGGCUUAACACAUGCAAGUCGAGGGGCAGCGCGUUGUAGCAAUACGAUGGCGGCGACCGGCGAAAGGGUGCGUAACGCGUGAGCAACCUGCCCGUAUCCGGGACAUAAGCGGUGGAAACGCCGUCUAAUUUCCCAUAACAACGAGGGCCGCAUGGUCCAUGUUUGAAAGAUGCGUCGGAUACGGAUGGGCUCGCGAGACAUUAGCUAGUCGGCGUGGUAACGGCACACCGAGGCGACGAUGUCUAGGGGUUCUGAGAGGAAGGUCCCCCACACUGGAACUGAGACACGGUCCAGACUCCUACGGGAGGCAGCAGUGGGGAAUAUUGGGCAAUGGGCGCAAGCCUGACCCAGCAACGCCGCGUGAGGGAAGAAGGUUUUCGGAUUGUAAACCUCUGUCCUUCAAGACGAGAAGAAGACGGUAUUGAAGGAGGAAGCCACGGCUAACUACGUGCC
rnacentral:rRNA from 1 species